rnacentral:piRNA from 1 species
UGUCAUAGCCACAAUGUCCCUUGAUAUA